CACGCAGGCGGUUCGCUCAGUCCCAUGUGAAAGCCCGAGGCUCAACCUCGGAAUUGCAUGGGAUACUGGCAGACUGGAGACUGGUAGAGGCUAGCGGAAUUCCUGGUGUAGCGGUGGAAUGCGUAGAUAUCAGGAAGAACACCUGUGGCGAAGGCGGCUAGCUGGGCCAGAUCUGACGCUCAUGUGCGAAAGCGUGGGGAGCAAACA
rnacentral:rRNA from 1 species